rnacentral:rRNA from 1 species
GAUGAACGCUAGCUACAGGCUUAACACAUGCAAGUCGAGGGGAAACGGCAUUGAGUGCUUGCACUCUUUGGACGUCGACCGGCGCACGGGUGAGUAACGCGUAUCCAACCUUCCCAUUACUGUGGGAUAACCUGCCGAAAGGCAGACUAAUACCGCAUAGUCUUCGAUGACGGCAUCAGAUUUGAAGUAAAGAUUUAUCGGUAAUGGAUGGGGAUGCGUCUGAUUAGCUUGUUGGCGGGGUAACGGCCCACCAAGGCUACGAUCAGUAGGGGUUCUGAGAGGAAGGUCCCCCACAUUGGAACUGAGACACGGUCCAAACCCCUACGGGAGGCAGCAGUGAGGAAUAUUGGUCAAUGGACGGAAGUCUGAACCAGCCAAGUAGCGUGCAGGAUGACGGCCCUAUGGGUUGUAAACUGCUUUUGGAUGGGGAUAAAGUUAGGGACGUGUCCCUAUUUGCAGGUACCAUACGAAUAAGGACCGGCUAAUUCCGUG